rnacentral:tRNA from 1 species
GGUAGCGUGGCCGAGUGGUCUAAGGUGCUGGAGUUAGGCUCCAGUCUCUGGAGGCGUGGGUUUGAAUCCCACUGCUGCCA